UGAGCAAUCUGCCCUUCUCAUCGGAAUAAGCGUUGGAAACGACGUCUAAUGCCGAAUACGACCUCCUUUCGCAUGAUCGGAGGUGGAAAGCUCCGGCGGAGAAGGAUGAGCUCGCGGCCUAUCAGCUAGUUGGUGUGGGUAAUGGCCCACCAAGGCGACGACGGAUAGCCGGCCUGAGNGNCGC
rnacentral:rRNA from 1 species